UUGAACGCUGGCGGCAUGCCUUACACAUGCAAGUCGAACGGUGACAGGUUAAGCUGACGAGUGGCGAACGGGUGAGUAAUGUAUCGGAACGUGCCCAGUCGUGGGGGAUAACUGCUCGAAAGAGCAGCUAAUACCGCAUACGACCUGAGGGUGAAAGCGGGGGAUCGCAAGACCUCGCGCGAUUGGAGCGGCCGAUAUCAGAUUAGGUAGUUGGUGAGGUAAAGGCUCACCAAGCCGACGAUCUGUAGCUGGUCUGAGAGGACGACCAGCCAAACUGGGACUGGGACACGGCCCAGACUCCUACGGGAGGCAGCAGUGGGGAAUUUUGGACAAUGGGCGCAAGCCUGAUCCAGCCAUGCCGCGUGCGGGAAGAAGGCCUUCGGGUUGUAAACCGCUUUUGUCAGGGAAGAAAAGGUUCUGGCUAAUACCUGGGACUCAUGACGGUACCUGAAGAAUAAGCACCGGCUAACUACGUG
rnacentral:rRNA from 1 species